GCCAGGCAUGGUGGCGUAUGCCUGUAAUCCCAGUGGCUCAGGAGGCUGAGGCAGGAGGACCAGAAGUUCAAGGCCAGCCUCAGCAAAAGCGAGGCUGUAAGCAACUCAGUGAGACCCUGUCUCUA
rnacentral:sRNA from 1 species